GUCACUAGAGAGCGUUCUUUGAGUUUCUCCGAAGAACCAUCAUCGUCAGGCAAGCGGGUAGCUGCUGGCGAGGUUCAAGAUUCUCAGUAAGACAAGCAAGAUGUGAUUAACACUGUAAGUCUUGUUAAACUGUGUUCUUAAGAUUGUGAUUAUCUUUCAUAUAUUGAGACAAGCAAGAUGUGAUUGACACUGUAAGACUUGUCACACUAUGUUCAAAAGAUUGUCAUAAUCUUCAAUAUAUUUGCUGGCUGGGCAUAAACUUCAAACCCAUAAGAAAGGGACGACACAUUAUAUGAUUGUGUUCUGUCCCGUUUCUAAUUUGGGAAUAUUGUACCUCAGUAAGACAAGCAAGAUGUGAUUAACUCUGUAAGACUUGUCAAACUGUGGUCAGUGAUUGCAAUAAUCUUCUAUAUAUUUAGACAAGCAAGAUGUGAUUAACACUGUAAGACUUGUCAACUUAUAUUAAAAGAUUAUUCUUAAGUAAGACAAGCAUGAUGUGAUUGGCACCGUAAGACUUGUCAAACUGUGUUCAAAACACUGCAAUUAUCUUCUACAUAUUUAGGCAAGCAAGAUGUGAUUAACACUGUAAGACUUGUCAGCUUAUGUUCAGAGAUUGCGAUUAUCUUUUACAUGUUGCUGGCUGGGCAGCGUUACAUAAACUUCAAGUUUCUGCAAAGAUCUGCCUUCAUAUAUUAAGGCUUUUCUAAUGAUGAUAAUAAGGCAAGCAAGAUGUCAUUGACUCUGUAAGACUUGUCGUAUUAUCUUCUACAUAUUGCUGGCUGGGCAGCAUUACAUAAACUUCAAGUUUCUGGAAAGAUCUGCCUUCAUUAAGGCUUUUCUAAUGAUGUCCUGUGAAGGAUAAAUUCAUUGUUCUGCUUCAAAACUCAAUGAUCUGCUUAGUGGUCUAAUGAUGUCCGAUUGGGAAAUUCAGUUGUAAGGAUGAGGACUGCAGAUGAAACACUCAGAGAUAUACAUGUCCCUAAGUAACGCUUGUCACAUUAUGUUCAUAGAUUGGAUGAUUGAAUCUCUGCAAUUAUCUUCUAUAUAUUGCUGGCUGGGCAGCAUUAGAUAAACUUCAUGUUUCUGCAAAGAUCGGUCUUCAUAUAUGAAGGCUUUUCUAAUGAUGAUAAUAAGGCAAGCAAGAAGUGAUCGACUCUGUAAGACUUGUCAUAUUAUCUUCUACAUAUUGCUGGCUGGGCAGCAUUACAUAAACUUCAAGUUUCUGCAAAGAUCUGCCUUCAUUAAGGCUUUUCUAUUGAUGAUAAGAAGGCAAGCAAGAUGUGAUUAACUCUGUAAGACUUGUCAUAUUGCUGGCUAGGCAGCAUUACAUAUAAACUUCAUGUUCUACAAAGAUCUGCCUUUUCUAAUGAUGAUAAUAAGGCAAGCAAGAUGUGAUUAACUCUGUAAGACUUGUCAUAUUAUCUUCUACAUAUUGCUGGCUGGGCAGCAUUACACAAACUUCAAGUUUCUGCAAAGAUCUGCCUUCAUUAAGGCUUUUCUAUUGAUGAUAAGAAGGCAAGCAAGAUGUGAUUGACUCUGUAAGACUUGUCAUAUUGCUGGCUGGGCAGCAUUACAUUUAAGCUUCAAGUUCUGCAAAAAACUGCCUUCAUAUAUUAAGGCUUUUCUAAUGAUUAUAAUAAGGCAAGCAAGAUUUCAUUGACUCUGUAAGACUUGUCGUAUUAUCUUCUACAUAUUGCUGGCUGGGCAGCAUACAUAACCUUCAUUAAGGCUUUUCUAAUGUUGUUCUGUGAAGGAGAAAUUCAUUAUUCUGCUUUAAAACUCAAUGAUCUGUUUAGUGAUGGGGAUAAACUGUCUUUUAUAAGACUGGUCUAAUGAUGUCUGAUUGGGAAACUCAGUUGUAAGGACGGAGGCAGCAGAUGAAAACACUCAGAGAUAUAUAUGUCCCUAAGUAAAGCUUGUCACAUUAUGUUCAUAAGUUGGGUAGUUGAAUCUCUGCAAUUAUCUUCUAUACAUUGCUGGCUGGGCAGCAUUACAUAAACUUGAUGUUUCUGCAAAGAUCUGUCUUUAUUAAGACUUUUCUAAUGAUAAAUUCAGUUAUCUGCUUUAAAACUCAAUGAUCUGCUUAUUGAUGGAGAUAAAUUGUCUUUUAGAAGACUUGGCUAAUGAGAAAUUCAGGUGUCCCUAUGUUGCCUAACUAAGUAAAACAAACAAGGUGUGAUUGAAACAGAGAUAUAUACGUCCCUGAGUAAAGCUUGUCACAUUAUGUUCAUACGUUGGAUAGUUGAAUCUCUGCAAUUAUCUUAUAUAUAUAUUGCUGGCUGGGCAGCACAAUAUUAACUUCAACUCUCUGCAAAGAUCUGUCUUUCUUAAGACUUUUCUAAUGAUAAAUUCAGUUUCUGCUUUAAAACUCAAUGAUCUGCCUAUUGAUGGGGAUAAAUUGUCUUUUAUAAGACUUUUCUAGUGAUGUCCGAUUGGGAAACUAAGUUGUAUGGAUGGGCAGCACAUGAAACUCUCAGUAAUCUGCAAAUUGAUGGAAGAAAAAGCAGUAAACUUCAGAUUCUGCAUGCCUUAACUAAGGUUAGUCUAAAUCAUGUCCCGAGAGUCAUAACUUCAGAACUUUUAAUCCUCUGUGCCUAUCUUGAAGCUCUUCUUGUUAGCGAAGGCACAUCCUUGUGCAACGCUUGAUGGGUCGAGGUUCGGUGAAGGCACUAAAGAGAAAGAGAGGGAGAUGAAAGAAAUAACAUAUAUAAUCUGCAAAUUGAUGGAAGAAAAGGCAAUAUAAACUUCAGAUUCUGCAUGCCUUAAUUAAGGCACAUUAUUGUGCAACGCUUGAUGGGUCUAGGUUCGGUGAAGGCACUAAAGAGAAAGAGAGGGAGAUGAGAGAAAGAACAUAUAUAAUCUGCAAAUCGAUGGAAGAAAAAGCAGUAUAAACUUCAGAUUUUGCAUGCCUUUAUUAAGUGAAGGCACAUUAUUGUGCAACGCUUGAUGAGUCGAGGUUCGGUGAAGGCACUAAAGAGAAAGAAAGGGAGAUGAGAGAACAGACAUAUAUAAACUGCAAAUUGAUGGAAGAAAAAGCAGUAUAAACUUCAGAUUCUGCAUGCCUUUAUUAAGGUUAGUCUAAUCAUGUUUAAACCUCUCUGCCUAGAUCUUGAAGCUCUUCUUGUUAGCGAAGGCACAUCAUCGUGCAACGCUUGGUGGGUCGAGGUUCGGGCAAGGCACUAAAGAGAAAGAGAGAGAGAGUGAUGAGAGAAAGAACAUAUAUGAUCGUCUGAAUUUAGACAAUCGUUUAAAAUAUUCAGAUAUUUGUAUACUACAAGGAUCUGACUUCUUAUUGAAGAGGUAUGUAUUCCAUCUACAACCAGCUCAAUGUUAGAGUUUUGCAUUGUUCUAAUGGUAAUUUUUUUUUGUUAUGUACAUCUCUUCAACAUUAAAGAAUGAAUCAAUCUGAUUUGUCUCAUUAUGUUCUAACCACAUCUUUUAGUGACUGAUUCUUAAUAGGGAUAUACAGAAAAUCAAGUUUGCGGAUUAUAUAUUUUCCACUUUGAUCAGGUGAAUGUCCCUUCCCUCUUUUACUUAUAAUCUUCCCAAGCAUUUUCCUUGAUGGCGUUUAUGGUUUUGUGAGUAACUCCGUUUUUUUGAGUCUUUUGUGCAUAUAUAAAUUUUAAAGCUUCAGAAGAGAACUCGAAUGUGUACAAAGAUUUGUCUCAGUAAUAAGAUUUUGGAGCAUGUGUGAUUCAUUAGAGGAGAAUUAUGGGAUUUUGGUGACUUCUAGUGCACAACAGAAUUGGCUAAACUAGUAGAAAAGAUGCAGAAGCUACUAUGAAUUUGAGGAAGAUGAUGUAUAUAUGGGAAAUUUCACCUCUUUGCAAGCGAGGCAUUUUUGGUGGCAGUCAUAUGACCAUGAAUGAUUUUGCAAGAUUGAAUCGAACAGAUUUGUCUAAGGUACAUGUUCUUUUUCUAUGCUUUCAAUAUCAUAGUGUUUUUGCUUGCGUCUUAAUUCUUGUGUUAGGCAGUACUGUCUGAUUCUUAAUUCUAGGAAAUUCAGCCAAUUUUGACGAGGCACCAGAGUUAUCAUCUCCCUAACUCCACAUGACGCUAAGAGACUAGUGACUUUUGUCAUCCAUUUGCAAGACCUCUGCAACCAAAGGUAUUGCCUAUAAACAAUUUCUUCUUAAGAUUUUUUUCUAACCUUUACAUAACUGUGAUUCUUUUAUCAGAUAGGAGAUUUUCAAAAGCAAAGGUUUGGUCUUUCUUCUCUUUAUAAGACUAAUAAAACAUAAACACACAUACACAAAAUCAUACACUAAACGCAAACAUAAACGCACUUACACGAAACCCUUUCUCUUUAUAAGACUAAUAAAACAUAAACGCACAUACAUGAAACCCUUCUCUUUAUAAGACUAAUAAAACAUAAACGCACAUACACGAAACCCUUUUCUUUAAAAGACUAAUAAAACAUAAACGCACAUACACGAAAAUCAUACACUAAACGAAAACAUAAACGCACAUACACGAAAAUCAUACACUAAACAAAAACAUAAACACAUACAUGAAGCCCUUCUUUAUAAGACAAAUAAAACAUAAACGCACAUACACGAAACCUUUUCUUUAAAAGACUAAUAAAACAUAAACGCACAUACACGAAAAUCAUACACUAAACGAAAACAUAAACGCACAUACACGAAAAUCAUACACUAAACAAAAACAUAAACACAUACACGAAACCCUUCUCUUUAUAAGACUAAUAAAACAUAAACGUACAUACACAAAACCGUUCUUUUUAUAAGACUAAUAAAACAUAAACGUACAUACACGAAAAUCAUACACUAAACGAAAACAUAAACGCACAUACACGAAACCUUUCUCUUUAUAAGACUAAUAAAACAUAAACGCACAUACACGAAAAUCAUACACUAAACGAAAACAUAAAUGCACAUACACGAAAAUCAUACACUAAACAAAAACAUAAACGCACAUGCGCAAAACCCUUCUCUUUAUAAGAUUAAUAAAACAUAAACGCACAUACACGAAACCCUUCUCUUUAUACGACUAAUAAAACAUACCCUUCUCUUUAUAAGACUAAUAAAACAUAACGCAUAUACACGAAAGUCAUACACUAAACGAAAACUUAAACGCACAUACACGAAAAUCAUACACUAAACAAAAACACAAACGCACAUACACGAAACCCUUCUCUUUAUAAGACUAAUAAAACGUAAACGCACAUACACGAAACCCUUCUUUUUAUAAGACUAAUAAAACAUAAACGCACAUACACGAAAAUCAUACACUAAACGAAAACAUAAACUCACAUACACGAAGGCCAUACACUAAACGAAACCAUAAACGCAUAUACACGAAGGCCAUACACUAACCGAAAAACAUAAACGCAUAUACGCGAAGCUCAUACACUAAUCAAAAAACAUAAACGCAUAUACACGAUGCUCAUACACUAACCGAAAACCUAAAUGCAUAUACACGGAGGUCAUACACUAACCGAAAA